rnacentral:rRNA from 1 species
UACGGAGGGUGCGGGCGUUGUCCGGAUUUAUUGGGUUUAAAGGGUGCGUAGGCGGCUUUUUAAGUCCGGGGUGAAAGCCCGCUGCUCAACAGCGGAACUGCCCUGGAUACUGGAGAGCUUGAAUACAGUGGAGGUUGGCGGAAUGGACCGAGUAGCGGUGAAAUGCAUAGAUACGGUCCAGAACCCCGAUUGCGAAGGCAGCUGACUACACUGGUAUUGACGCUGAGGCACGACAGCGUGGGGAGCGAACAGG